AACGUAGGUGGCGAGCGUUAUCCGGAAUUACUGGGCGUAAAGCGUGUGCAGGCGGGCUGACAAGUGGUGGAUGAAAUAUCCCGGCUUAACCGGGAGGGGUUAUGCCAGACUGUCAGUCUUGAGUGCGAGAGAGGAGCGUGGAAUUCCGGGUGUAGUGGUGAAAUGCGUAGAGAUCCGGAGGAACCCCAGAGGCGAAGGCGGCGCUCUGGCUCGCAACUGACGCUCAGACACGACAGCAUGGGGAGCGAACGGG
rnacentral:rRNA from 1 species